rnacentral:rRNA from 1 species
CCCUUAGAUGUCCUGGGCCGCACGCGCGCUACACUGAUGCAUUCAACGAGUCUACCUUGGCCGAGAGGCCUGGGCAACCUUUUAAACGUGCAUCGUGAUAGGGAUAGAUUAUUGCAAUUAUUAAUCUUGAACGAGGAAUUCCUAGUAAACGCAAAUCAUCAAUUUGCAUUGAUUACGUCCCUGCACUUUGUACACACCGCCCGUCGCACCUACCGAUUGAAUGGUCCGGUGAGGACUCGGGAUUUUUACCAGUUUCCUUCAUUGGGAAUUGGUGAGGAGAACUUGUCUAAACCUUAUCAUCUAGAGGAAGGUGAAGUCGUAACA